rnacentral:sRNA from 1 species
GCAAGUUGCUUUGGCAGAUAUCAUUCUCAUUAUAAAACAGACUUGGUUCCAGAAGAAGAUGUA